rnacentral:rRNA from 1 species
AGAGUUUGAUCCUGGCUCAGAACGAACGCUGGCGGCAUGGAUUAGGCAUGCAAGUUGAACGAUCCACUUCGGUGGGGAGUAGCGGAAGGGUGAGGAACGCGUGAGUAAUCUGCCCCUUAGUUGGGAAUAACAGUUGGAAACGACUGCUAAUACCGAAUGUGGCUGAGUUUGCGCAUGCAGACUUGGCUAAAGAUUUAUCGCUAAGGGAUGAGCUCGCGUCCCAUUAGGUAGUUGGUGAGGUAACGGCCCACCAAGCCGACGAUGGGUAGCUGGUCUGAGAGGAUGGUCAGCCACACUGGGACUGAGACACUGCCCAGACUCCUACGGGAGGCUGCAGUCGAGAAUCUUGGGCAAUGCGCGAAAGCGUGACCCAGCAAUGCCGCGUGUGUGAUGAAGGCCUUCGGGUCGUAAAACACUGUCACCCGUGACGAAUAAUGACGGUAGCGGGGAAGGAAGCCACGGCUAACUACGUGCCAGCAGCCGCGGUAAUACGUAGGUGGCGAGCGUUGUUCGGAUUUAUUGGGCGUAAAGGGUCUGUAGGAGGUUUGUUAAAUUCGAGGUGAAAUCCCGAAGCUCAACUUCGGAACUGCCUUGGAGACUGAUGGACUAGAGUGCUGGAGAGGUAAGCGGAAUACCAGGUGUAGCGGUGGAAUGCGUAGAUAUCUGGUAGAACACCAAGAGCGAAGGCAGCUUGCUGGACAGUAACUGACUCUGAGAGACGAAAGCGUGGGGAGCAAACAGGAUUAGAUACCCUGGUAGUCCACGCCGUAAACGUUGUCAACUUGAUGUGGGGGGAUUUAGUCCUCUCCGUAUCGCAGCUAACGCGCUAAGUUGACCGCCUGGGGACUACGGCCGCAAGGCUAAAACUCAAAGGAAUUGACGGGGGCC